UGUUCUGAAUAUUAUUAAAGUUCUAAAAGCAAAUCAUUAAUCUAGGAGUGUAAAUCAAAGGCUUAUCUGGAGGAAACCCUCUGUUACCUCUGAAUGAACCUCUUGACUCUGGAACUUGGCAUCACUGAUUUUUCUUUGUCCCCCCUGACUCCACAACUCUGUCAGACCAAAGACAUGUAUCAUUAUGUCCAACUCUGUGAGAACAAAGACAUGUAUCAUUAUGUCCAACUCUGUCAGACCAAAGACAUUUAUCAUUAUAUUCAACUCUGUCAGACCAAAGACAUGUAUCAUUAUGUCCAACUCUGUGAGAACAAAGACAUGUAUCAUUAUGUCCAACUCUGUCAGACCAAAGACAUUUAUCAUUAUAUUGAAUGUGUUUAUUCUUCAUUUGAGUUGACGUAACAUGACAUAAAUUCGUAAAGUCUUCAUAAGCACUACAAAGGGUCAUGUGACAGGUCUGACCGUACGUCUGGUUCUUUACCAAAUGUGGCAUAACCUUUUUUCUACCCGUUUAUAUAGCAUCACAUUGACUUAUGGAUGACUUAUGAAGCAUCUAUAGGGCUUCAUUAUGCCUUAAAGGUUAUGCCUGGUUUUAUGUGGGACCUAUAUAUUUUAGUGGUCAUACCCUGCCUCUUAACCUGAGACCGAGCAGCAGGUCAUGGUCUCAUGUUGAAACUAGAUGAUUACAUUUGGAUUGAACCCGUUCAUAACAAUAUUAUCAGUCCGAAACAAGAUAACAGCUCAGUGGGAGGUUUAGCUAAUUGUGUGCUAUAUACUAUAUAUCCACUAGAGGGCACUCUAGAUCAUCUUCUGGUAAUUAACCCUUUAAGUACUCCCUACAGCGGUUAACUCUGUAGUGGUGGUUCUAAUAUAAGCAACUUUAAGGUGGUCCACCUGUAUUUAUAUAGUUUUCAGAUCUCUAAUCUUGGUCCUCUGAUGUCAGUUAAGCACAUUCUUCAGACACAUACUCGUUUACCUGUAGAAGUAUGUGAAAUAUCCAACUUCCUCCUGAGAGCAGAACAGGGAAUUGAGACAUGAGAAUAACAGUAGGAAGUUGUCCCCCCUGACACCACUACCCCUGUCAUGGUGCUUGUAUAGUACGAACACACACACACAAACACGCACACACACCCCAGCUAGACUUUAUUGAUUGCCUUAUGAUGAGGGGGAUUAAAAAUACAUUUUAAUGGCAAGUUUUCUGCUCAAAAUCUUUUCAGGUAUUGUUUUUCUCACUUCUACACAUCCUCUUCAGUGUCAGAGGUCAGGGGUCAGACACACAGUCUACUGUCGGUGUAAGUCGACACAUCCUCCUCAGUGUCAGGGGUCAGCCACACACUCUGCUGUAGGUGUAGCUCUACACAUCCUCCUCUCCGCAGUGUCAGGGGUCAGGGGUCAGCCACACAGUCUGCUGUAGGUGUAGCACUUGGUGGAUGCACAUAUCAAUCACAUGUAUUUAUAAAGCCCUUUUUACAUCAGCAGAUGUCACAAAGUGCUUCUACAGAAACCAACCUAAAACCCCAUCCACGUGUCUGUCUGUGUGUGUGGGGGGGGAGCGUGCUAUCACAGAGUCAGGCUUCAACAGUUAGUUCCACUCACAGACCACAGAGAGGUGGCGGGAACAACCUACGUCCACCUCUCACCACGGGACUGAAGUGGUUGAGACCAGAGAAGCACCACGUGGUCUAAGUUUUGGAUCACUGUUUUGAACUGAAAUGGCUCAUUUCCUGGAUUCAGUGGGACGUUGAGCAUGGGGGAGCAUGGUCUUGUAGGGGAACAGGUGCUUCCCUCUCUGAGUGUCUUAAAUGUCACUGAUGUUUUGGUUGGGAAAAAACAUAUAGGCUUAAUAAUCAGGUUAACUGUAUAUGCAGUUCAGACGCAGUUAAACCAAACAUAAUACAUAGCUUCAUCCUAAUUCAUAUAUAGGCUUAAUAAUCAGGUUAACUGUAUAUGCAGUUCAGACACAGUUAAACCAAACAUAAUACAUAGCUUCAUCCUAAUUCAUAUAUAGGCUUAAUAAUCAGGUUAACUGUAUAUGCAGUUCAGACGCAGUUAAACCAAACAUAAUACAUAGCUUCAUCCUAAUUCAUAUAUAGGCUUAAUAAUCAGGUUAACUGUAUAUGCAGUUCAGACACAGUUAAACCAAACAUAAUACAUAGCUUCAUCCUAAUUCAUAUAUAGGCUUAAUAAUCAGGUUAACUGUAUAUGCAGU
rnacentral:lncRNA from 13 species